GGCCAGUGCCGUCUUCCCGUCUUUAGUGACGCAGGAUCCAAGGUCUAACCAGGGAAACUGGUCUCCGUAUAGCAGCAUGUACAUUACGCUGCUAUUGCUUACCACCGCGUUGUCAAGCGGUGGAUGGAAGCAUCGAAAACACAGCCAGAGCUCCAGCGCCGCAAAUCGCCGCGCAGUGCACCCCGAUAGCCUGGGCUGGGCGACUCGCUGCUAGCGCUGGCCAUGAAUUGGCCGGCAGCGCAUUCAGUGACCUGUUUUCAUGUCGACUUGGGAGGUAAAAAAACCUCAUAAAGACCGCGUUUUUCUGUGUUUUAUUGAGUAACAUCGCUACUAUCCCAGUGAGCUACCAAUGUUAUAACCUCCAACACUGUCAGGCACAUGAACCAGAGUUCUGAACUUCUGAGUGGACCCAACGAAAUGCCGGUUUCCCUUCGAGACAAACAUGGGCCAGGUGGUUUUCCUCGCUGUGGUGGAUAACGCAACAAUGUCAACAUUACCUAGUGUCCAGAAUUCCAGAUGGCCUUUGCUGUCUCCUUAUCUGCUCAAUCUUGCUGUAAUUGAUGCUCAAAUUUCCAGCCUGUCGUAUCACAUCAAGUGUGUCAGCACAGUCAUGUUUGAGGAAUCUUCCUUUGAACAAAAAAUGGCAUUUCCACUUACAUGUAAGUUCAACUGUGAAGAGAGAUGAAGCAUUUUUAUGCUGUUGGAUCCGAAAUUCUAUUUCCUUGUUGCAUCGAUCAUAGAAAAGCAGUGCAUAUCAUCCUCUGGAAUGACUAAACAGUGCAUCAAACUUGUUCAGAAAAAAGACACGAAAAACUACUUAUGGCCUGAGUAACACCAGCUAUGUUGAAACAUUUAGGUUAUGUCACCUUCAAUCCUGAAACAAACAGGCAAGAUGAUAUGCCACCAGUUCGAAAGAUCAUUGCCCAGCUUGAAGCUUCUUCAAAAGCCCUGGAUUAAUAUCACUGUGGUAUCAAUAUCUUGAUACAGACCCUCUCAUUAAACUUUCUCAGACUAUGUUAAAUCUUCAUACACAAACUACAAAAAGGUAAACAGUAUAUGAUAGGACCAGGUGGGGGUAACCUCCCCCCUCUUCUCUCUCUCUCCCUCUCUCUACUGUUUCACUAUCAUUAUUUGCCUUUCUCUCCCCCUCUCAUACCUCAACUGAUACUUGUUCUAUCUGGUUAAGAUUUACAACCACAUGUUUUUAUCUAUUUGAAUUGGUUCUUCAAUUUAGACUUGUGAAUUACUUGUACAGUCAGAUAAGGUAUUGUUUAACUGUAUACUCUCUCCAUUCAAUCUAUAUAUAUAUAUAUCUCCUUCUCUCUAUUUCUUCAGAUCUCUGUUCUCAUUUUAACCUUUGAUAAAAUGAAUAUCUGUAAUUAAGCCUUAUUAAUGAUUUUUUGACAGAUUAAACCAUUUCCCCAUGAAAUUGCUAUUUCUAAUUAAAUCGUGUGUUAUUGUUCUUUCCAUCUUUCUCUCAUUGGUCUUUCAUCCUUGGUAUCUCCAUCUCUCUCCACACCACCCCUGUCUCUCACACACAUACAUCCUCUUGUCAUUAUUGUAUCCUCUUUCUGUUUCAUCUGUUUUAUUUCAAUUAAAUAAAAACUUGGUUCAAAGGCCUUACAUUGUUUGAUUACGAAAAUUAAACCAUAUUUAAUGGGCAUUAUGUUGAUGAUAGUUUGUAUUUAUGCGUAUCAGUUUUACCAGCUUUCUUGUGCAGCAAGCCUUGUAGUUUGGUUAUUUGCAUCGUCUUCUAUAGAAGGUGUAAAAUUAUUGUUCAUAUUCAAUUGUACUUGGAAUGAUUUUUAUUCUUGUUUACAUGUACUGUAGAUGCACAGUCAAACAAGUCCAUAGUGCAUUACAGUGGCAAAUUAAUUUAUGCAACCAUGUAACGCUAUGCAUGAAUUAACAGCUGUGGAAUUCCAAAUUAUGAUCUUAUCUCAUGAUUUGAUUUUCAAGAAAAUUGAUCAGUCGUGCCAUUAUAUUGGUCCAGUCAUUGAAAGGACACUUAUGUCUUAUCUCCUUCUGCUUCUUGCUUUUUUUCUUCUAGAUUUUUCCCCAUUUGAUGGGAGGAGAACACAGACCUCCUCCAUGAAGAAAGUGCAUGCCAUUUAAAUUGUGCAAUUGAUGUAGAAAAUAUAAUUAUAUUCAGGUUGUGCAAUGACGUACAUGUAAUUGUGCUCCUUGUCUUGGACUUGUAAAAGU
rnacentral:lncRNA from 1 species